rnacentral:lncRNA from 1 species
CUUACUUAAGGAGAUGGCCAUGAGAUGCCGACAAGGCCCCUGUAAUGGCCAUGAUGGCCGCGUCGGGAAGCUUGACUCAUUUCAUCAAAUAGCCUUUGAGAAUCCUGGUCACUGGUAUUGAAACAACAUUGCAGGGUAUUGAGUAUUUGUGCAGGCCCUGCUGGUGAGGUGAGACUCAUCUCCUUCUUUGGAGAGCUUCAGGGAGAGUAAAGCUCCUUCUCUGCCAGUCUGUUCUUCGAAAAACAAACUGAAACAUAGCAAAACCCAAAAGGUCCAAAUCCUGUGAUUAGCUAUUAAAAUGAGUUGCAUGGAA